rnacentral:rRNA from 1 species
AUUGAACGCUGGCGGCAGGCCUAACACAUGCAAGUCGAGCGAGCGGCGGACGGGUGAGUAAUGUAUGGGGACUGCCCGAUAGAGGGGGAUAACUCCUGGAAACGGUGGCUAAUACCGCAUACUGUCGGAGAACCCAUAUGGGAGGAGAUAGUAGGUAAGGUAAUGGCUUACCUAGGCGACGAUCCCUAGCUGGUCUGAGAGGAGGAGCAGCCACACUGGGACUGAGACACGGCCCAGACUCAUACGGAGGCAGCAGUGGGGAAUAUUGCACAAUGGGCGCAAGCCUGAUGCAGCCAUGCCGCGUGUAUGAAGAAGUCCCUAGGGUUGUAAAGUAUUUUCAGUCGGGAGGCGUUACCUACAGAAGAAGCACCGGCUAACUCCGUGCCAGCAGCCGCGGUAAUAC